ensembl:lncRNA
GUAAGUGUCCUAUCACUAUCAAACUGUUACCAACUUUUCACGUUUUUCCUAGUACUAGACGGCGGUGAAAUGCGCACUCAGCAGUCAAGCCUGGGAGCUGGUUGUAGCCUGAAGCAACGGGUUACACGUAACCGAGCUGGGGUCUCAGUAAAACCAACAUCUUUCCUCCUUUAAACAAAAGUCAAGAGUCUAUUUAAAAAUGGGGCUAAAUAGAAGAAGGUGGGGAAGGUGCCUAACUUAAAAAACUAAGACUAAGGAGCUAGGGAGGCCCUCGACGGGACGAAGCAGUGGCAGACCCACCGGUUGCCUAAACACCUUUGCUGAGGACCCACAAGGCGGGCAGAAGAGGGAAUAUACUAGAAGGUGAAAGUAUCCUAGUCCACUAACGGUGAGAUUUUUGGAGGUCCCCAAGCCAGGACCUGGGCUUCUUUCCUACCUCGGCGGAGACACGCUCUCCUCGCCCCACGGUCGCCUUCGCUCACACCCGUGCCCCAGCAACGCUCCCUUCCGGCCUCUGACGUUAGUGGGUGGGGCCCCCACUUCCUGUGACGCAGCGGGUGCGGGCCGCUCGGAUGACUGCCUUCUUGGCACUCCCUUCUUGGUUUCCGCCCAUCCUCCUCUCGGGAGGUGGUCCUCCGGCACCUGGAAUGACAGUGGCUUUGCGUGCCUGGAACUCGCGCUGCCUUCCCGGCCUCUGUGGGGGCCAUCUUAGAAACUAGAAUGAGCGCUGAGACAUAGCGCUCGAGGAGGGGAUGGGACACCUUAGAGGUCAACUGAUGCUGAUACCUGCAGGUUGAAAUUUCUGGAGAAGGAAGAGCUAAGAGCUUGAGAGGACGAGGAGUGGGUACCAAACCAGAAUCCAAAGUCAGACUUCACUGCAUUCAGUAAUACCUUGUCAAGCAACAGUAGCCCGUUAUGCCUUUUCUGAUGCUGGCAUCUGAGAUGUAAAUUGUGGCACAGUGGUGAAGAAUCCACUUGUUAAUGCAGGAGAUACCCUGGGUCAGGAAGAUCCCUGAAGAAGGAAGUGGCAACUCACUCCAGUAUUCUUGCUUGAAAGAUUCCAUGGACAGAAGAGCCUGGCAGGGUCACAGAGCCAUGGACUGGGGUCACAAGAGAGUCAAGACUCGACUGAACAGCAGCAGCAUGGCAGAACCUAACACGAGGAUAAUUAUCCUCCAAUUAAAAGUAAAUAAAAAGGAAAGCCCUCCAAUUGAUUUUGAUUUUGAAGAUUGAGAACCGUUGCCAUAUAUUAACUAUAGUUCUCAACCUUGUUCCCUCAUGGCCACUGUAAUUCCUAACAUAG